UACGAAGGGGGCUAGCGUUGCUCGGAAUCACUGGGCGUAAAGGGUGCGUAGGCGGGUCUUUAAGUCAGGGGUGAAAUCCUGGAGCUCAACUCCAGAACUGCCUUUGAUACUGAAGAUCUUGAGUUCGGGAGAGGUGAGUGGAACUGCGAGUGUAGAGGUGAAAUUCGUAGAUAUUCGCAAGAACACCAGUGGCGAAGGCGGCUCACUGGCCCGAUACUGACGCUGAGACACGAAA
rnacentral:rRNA from 1 species